GGCAGAUUUUUGGACACUGGGUUUAAACAAACAAAUGGAAUCGACUAUUGGAAAUGGCUGUUUUGAGCUUAUCACUAAAAUUGUUCAGUCAAAGGGGAUAAGCAUUUACAUAGAAAAUCUGUAUGUCACCCAGACUUGGCUUGCGCCCUAUGGCUGUGAUCCAUUGCAGUCCUUUCCUACUGAUGCUCAGAGGAUGGACAUCAUAGUUCUCCCUCUCUGGACACCUGGUCAUUUCCAGUUGUGU